UUUUUUGGUACGAGAUGAGCCCGCGGCCUAUCAGCUUGUUGGUGGGGUAAUGGCCUACCAAGGCGUCGACGGGUAGCCGGCCUGAGAGGGUGGACGGCCACAUUGGGACUGAGAUACGGCCCAGACUCCUACGGGAGGCAGCAGUGGGGAAUAUUGCACAAUGGGCGCAAGCCUGAUGCAGCGACGCCGCGUGAGGGAUGACGGCCUUCGGGUUGUAAACCUCUUUCGACAGGGACGAAGCUUUUUGUGACGGUACCUGUAUAAGAAGCACCGGCUAACUACGUGCCAGCAGCCGCGGUAAUACGUAGGGUGCGAGCGUUGUCCGGAAUUACUGGGCGUAAAGAGCUCGUAGGUGGUUUGUCGCGUCGUCUGUGAAAUUCCGGGGCUUAACUCCGGGCGUGCAGGCGAUACGGGCAUAACUUGAGUGCUGUAGGGGAGACUGGAAUUCCUGGUGUAGCGGUGGAAUGCGCAGAUAUCAGGAGGAACACCGAUGGCGAAGGCAGGUCUCUGGGCAGUAACUGACGCUGAGGAGCGAAAGCAUGGGGAGCGAACAGGAUUAGAUACCCUGGUAGUCCAUGCCGUAAACGGUGGGCGCUAGGUGUGAGGGUCUUCCACGACUUUCGUGCCGUAGCUAACGCAUUAAGCGCCCCGCCUGGGGAGUACGGCCGCAAGGCUAAAACUCAAAGGAAUUGACGGGGGCCCGCACAAGCGGCGGAGCAUGUGGAUUAAUUCGAUGCAACGCGAAGAACCUUACCUGGGCUUGACAUAUACAAGAGC
rnacentral:rRNA from 1 species